rnacentral:rRNA from 1 species
UACGGGGGGGGCAAGCGUUGUUCGGAAUUACUGGGCGUAAAGGGCUCGUAGGCGGCCAACUAAGUCGGACGUGAAAUCCCUCAGCUUAACUGGGGAACUGCGUCCGAUACUGGAUGGCUUGGAUUUGGGAGAGGGAUGCGGAAUUCCAGGUGUAGCGGUGAAAUGCGUAGAUAUCUGGAGGAACACCGGUGGCGAAGGCGGCAUCCUGGACCAAUAUUGACGCUGAGGAGCGAAAGCCAGGGAGCAAAGCGGGAUUAAGAAACCCG